AUUGAACGCUGGCGGCAGGCUUAACACAUGCAAGUCGAACGAGUGGCGGACGGGUGAGUAAUGUCUGGGAAACUGCCUGAUGGAGGGGGAUAACUACUGGAAACGGUAGCUAAUACCGCAUACCAUCAGAUGUGCCCAGAUGGGAUUAGCUGGUGGGUGGGGUAAUGGCUCACCAAGGCGACGAGCCCUAGCUGGUCUGAGAGGAUGACCAGCCAAACUGGAACUGAGACACGGUCCAGACGCCUACGGGAGGCAGCAGUGGGGAAUAUUGCACAAUGGGCGCAAGCCUGAUGCAGCCAUGCCGCGUGUGUGAAGAAGGCCUUCGGGUUGUAAAGUACUUUCAGCGAGGAGGCGUUACUCGCAGAAGAAGCACCGGCUAACUCCGUGCCAGCAGCCGCGGUAAUAC
rnacentral:rRNA from 1 species